rnacentral:rRNA from 1 species
GACGAACGCUGGCGGCGUGCCUAAUACAUGCAAGUUGAGCGCUGAAGGUUGGUACUUGUACCAACUGGAUGAGCAGCGAACGGGUGAGUAACGCGUGGGGAAUCUGCCUUUGAGCGGGGGACAACAUUUGGAAACGAAUGCUAAUACCGCAUAAAAACUUUAAACACAAGUUUUAGGUUUGAAAGAUGCAAUUGCAUCACUCAAAGAUGAUCCCGCGUUGUAUUAGCUAGUUGGUGAGGUAAAGGCUCACCAAGGCGAUGAUACAUAGCCGACCUGAGAGGGUGAUCGGCCACAUUGGGACUGAGACACGGCCCAAACUCCUACGGGAGGCAGCAGUAGGGAAUCUUCGGCAAUGGACGAAAGUCUGACCGAGCAACGCCGCGGGAGUGAAGAAGGUUUUCGGAUCGUAAAACUCUGUUGGUAGAGAAGAACGUUGGUGAGAGUGGAAAGCUCAUCAAGUGACGGUAACUACCCAGAAAGGGACGGCUAACUACGUG